AUUAAAAGUAAAAUUUAAAUUAGUUCUCUCUUAAUUUUAUCUAUUUUAAUAAUAAAUACCUUUUGUAUUAGGGGCUUAAGAAAUAAAUAAAUUUAUUUUUUCCCGAAAACUUUAAGAUCUAAUAGCUUAGGUUAAUAAAUGUUGAAGUACAGAAAAAGCUAUUAGGGGUUAUACGCUUUAGUUUAAGUAUAUCUGGUUAUUUUAAAAUAGAGAGGGAAAAGCUUCUUAAAACACUUUUUUCGAUUUUAACGAUUGGAUUAUUAAAAGUUUUUAAAUUGUGUUUUAACUGACUCUUUAAAAUUGUUUUUACAGGUUUAUAUUAUUUUAAUUUAUAGCAUUUUAUGAUUUAAGUAUUAGUAGAAUUAAAACUUUUUUGUUACUUUAUUAAAUUUUAUUUUUAAAUUACAGUGAAAAACUUCAAAAAAAGGAGAGAGAAUGUUUAUCAAAGUCUUUUCUAAAAAAUUUUUUAGAAGCUACUGCUCAAUGAAUAUUAAAUAGCCAUGGUAAUUUGACUAUGCUAAGGUAGCGAAAUCAUUAGAAUUUUAAUUGAAUUCCAGUAUGAGAGUAGUCUCUCUCUCCUUUUAUCUUACUUUAAGUAUUUUAAUUUAAUUUUUAUUUGAAAAAUCUUUAAAAUUUUAAAAAAGACUAAAAGACCCUUGGAUUUUUAUUUGAACAUUUUACUGAUUUAAUUAAUAAGAGUAGAAGACUUCAUUUUUUCUUGGGGCAAGAUUUUAUAUAAAUUUAAUUCAAACUUUUUUAGAACUCAAGUUUUAAUAAGAUUUUAAAUACCCAAGGGAUAACAGCGUAAUAUCUUUGGGUAGAUCUUAUAUAUAAAGAAUUUUACGACCUCGAUGUUGGUUUGCUUUACCUUUCUGGAGUAGAAGAUAGAAAAGGAAGUCUGUUCGACUUUUAACCUAGCACAUGAACUGAGUUCAAGUCGGCGUAAGCCAGAUUGGAUUUUAUCUUUUUAUUUAAAUAUUUUUAAUAGUACGAGAGGACCUUAAAA
rnacentral:rRNA from 1 species